GACGAACGCUGGCGGCGUGCUUAACACAUGCAAGUCGAACGGAAAGGCCCUGCUUUUGUGGGUUGCUCGAGUGGCGAACGGGUGAGUAACACGUGAGUAACCUGCCCUUGACUUUGGGAUAACUUCAGGAAACUGGGGCUAAUACCGGAUAUGAGCUCCUGCUGCAUGGUGGGGGUUGGAAAGUUUCGGCGGUUGGGGAUGGACUCGCGGCUUAUCCGCUUGUUUGUGGGGUAGUGGCUUACCAAGGCUUUGACGGGUAGCCGGCCUGAGAGGGUGACCGGCCACAUUGGGACUGAGAUACGGCCCAGACUCCUACGGGAGGCAGCAGUGGGGAAUAUUGCACAAUGGGCGGAAGCCUGAUGCAGCAACGCCGCGUGCGGGAUGACGGCCUUCGGGUUGUAAACCGCUUUCGCCUGUGACGAAGCGUGAGUGACGGUAAUGGGUAAAGAAGCACCGGCUAACUACGUG
rnacentral:rRNA from 1 species